rnacentral:snRNA from 1 species
GUGCUCACUUCUGCAGCACAUAUACUAAGAUUGGAAAGAUACAGAGACGAUUAGCAUGGCCCCUGCGCAAGGAUGACGCGCAAAUUUGUGAAGUGUUCCAUAUUUAA